rnacentral:rRNA from 1 species
GACGAACGCUGGCGGCGCGCCUAACACAUGCAAGUCGAGCGAUGAAAUUUUAACCGAUCUCUUCGGAGAGAAGAUAAAAUGGAUUAGCGGCGGACGGGUGAGUAACACGUGAGAAACCUGCCUUUCACAAGGGGAUAGCCUCGGGAAACCGGGAUUAAUACCCUAUGACACAUUUCCUUCGCAUGGAAGAAAUGUUAAAACUCCGGUGGUGAAAGAUGGUCUCGCGCCUGAUUAGCUAGUUGGUGGGGUAACGGCCCACCAAGGCCAUGAUCAGUAACCGGCCUGAGAGGGUGAACGGUCACAUUGGAACUGAGGCACGGUCCAAACUCCUACGGGAGGCAGCAGUGGGGAAUAUUGCACAAUGGAGGAAACUCUGAUGCAGCGACGCCGCGUGAGCGAUGAAGGCUUUCGAGUCGUAAAGCUCUGUCCUAUGGGAAGAUAAUGACGGUACCAUAGGAGGAAGCCCCGGCUAACUACGUG